GAUAAUAAAAUGAAAAGAAAAAAAGAUCAGGGAAAGAUCUUGCCCUUAAUUUUUUUCCGUUUCUCCUUUGUUUUAGUUGAUAUUUCUUAUGUUUUCCCCCAUUUUUCUUAUAGUUUUUGCAUCCUAAAGAGUCCCAAUCGGGCGGUCGAAAAGGAGAAGCUGAGAUGAUGAUGACUGGGGUUUUUGGUAUUUCCUUUCUCUCUCUCCUCCGGUGCAUGAGGUUCCGUCAGAAUAAAUGGCCAGAUUGUCGCCGCCCAAACCCUCUCUCUCGACCCCAACCUCCUGCUUUCCUCCCUCGUCGCCGCCUCUGCCAUCUCCUGCCUCUCCGACACCUUCGCCUCCCUCUCCUCGUGGAGACGACGGAUGGCGUCGUCCGGGUGAAGGCAGAUGGCACCGACGAGGGUGAUGUAGGGCUCGAGUUCGAGGCCGCCGAACUCUGAUCGAAGAUCCACCAUAAGUCGCUUUAGCCUCGCCUCUACAUCCUCCGAUGGCAGCGCCCACACAGAGUACCACUCUGCCACUAAUGACUGGCCGUCGGGUUCUCCAAGGAGCCGUCCUCUAAUGGCUCCAAAGAGCUCUGUGUCGCCUUCCAGAACCCCUCCACCGAACCUCCUUCCGUAGCUCCUACCAGUCCCCCUCCUCCUUCGAUGACGACGAUGGCGACCCCUCCCGCCUCAGUGCCUCCCCCAGCCCCACCGCCCGCGACCUUGCCGCCACACAAUAGAGUAGGUGUGCCAGGCCCUACCUUGAGCCAUCAUGGGCCGGGCCCGGCCGGACCGGGUUCGGGCUGACCGCCCCAUUUUUACACCCCUACGUGAGACGUCAGCUGCGGGGCCCUCUUAACAGAAGCAAGGAUCAUUAAGAUCUGCCCUCGUCCGCGGAUCCACGUAAUCGACGCUCCGGAUUAAAAGCGAUGCAAAGAUUAGCGGGGUAGCGAUAUAAACAGAGUAGCGCGUUUUGGAUUUCACCCGUUCGGCUCUACUGUUCUUGGGGUCGAGGUCCUGGCUCUCCUGCAGAACUCACCUUCCUCUACGUGGUGCUCGUUAGCGAGGGGCUUUGGGUGGCGCCCCUCCCUUCCUAAGCCUACGGCUUCUUUUCUGCGUUCUUCUUCUUUUUGUUCUCCCAGGCGGGUUUUUAUGAAGAGCCAGUGAGGAUUUGGAUUUGCUACGUUAUGAAUCAGACAGAGAUCACCUAUUUUAAACGGCAAGGUGAUCUUGGAUGGUUUGCUGCCGUGGUGCAGGCAACCGAUUUGCAUCAGUUUUGAUUUAGGUUAACAAUACAAUGCUGGAUUAAACGGUCAAUCUGAGCCUCCUCUGUCUUCCCUUUCUUUGAUUUCCAAAUUUCUGCCUGUCGCUUUCUUUUUCAAGUAUUUUUUUUUUUUAAAUUUCGUUAAGGUAAUUAAUUUAUUCCGAAGAGUUGUUCCUGUGGUUUCUCAACAAAUCAUGGGAUUUGGAGGCCGAUGAAAGCCUGGGGAUAGGGAUUGCUUCAGUAGCAGCUGGGGUUUGGAAAUCCUCUAAUUUUCUGUUUUGAUAAUUGAAAAUUAGGGAUUGUUUGGAUGGUUUUAAGGUUUAUCACAUUUUUUAAAGGUUUUGAAUCCACUUCCAACCACAUGUUCUUGUUUUACUUGACUCUAUCUUUCUUUCUUUUUUCUUUUUUGCUUUUAGGUUUUGAAUAGUUUUCUUUUUCCUUAAGUAUUCCUUACGCUUUUCCUUCCCCUUUUUUUAGCAAUGAUAUCACCACAGGUAACUUGAAAAAGCUUCAAUGUUAUCCUCCAGAAAAAGUGUACGUUCCUGCACCAACCUGGUGUUCCAUAAGGUGUUGCAGGAUCUCUCAUGGAAGCCUACCUGCAGCGGGUAUGGGAUAAGAUACCUGGAUCAUGUUCCCUGUUGCUAUCAGGUGGUGUAUCAAUAGGUGGUGCAUAAAUUUCUAGAUGACCUGUUUCAAUUUGAGUAGUGGCAUGGGAUGAAGGUUUUGAUGGUGGACGGUGGAGGAGGAUUUUUGGUAGUAGUGAAGAUGAGGUUGACGAGCAGCACUGGUUCCGUAAGCUUCUGAUUACGAUGCAAAAAUAUGAUGAAGGAUUUUUGAUGUGGAUUUUUUUGAGAUUGUUAGAUUUUUGAGGUUUAUCUGCACAAUGGUGAAGAAAUUUGAUAAUCUUAUGAUUGUAAUGCUAUAUUAUUGGUUAAAUUUGCUCUGUCAUGAUGUUAGGGUUGCACAAGGUGGAUACCAAUGCAGAUUUUUCUUUCUUUCUUUCUUUCUUUCUUUCUUUUGUGUGUGCAGUCAUAUAGAUAUUUGGGUUUGUUGACUUCUAUUUUUGGCUGUUAAUAUGUCUUAUUAUAGCAGUAACUCCUGGUUGUUUUCUCACAUUAUACCGUGCAUGUUGCUCCCUUUCACAUUACAAGGCUGAGUUCUCUUUAUUGAGCUCUUUGCACAAUGAGGGUUAGUUAUAUUUUCUUUUUCAAUUUUAUCUAAUCACAUGAAAUAUUAUCCUUGUGUACGAACAUAGUUACCAAUUGUCCAGCCAAUCCCAACUAUUUGAGCUAAUUGCUUUUUUUUUUUAAUCUAUAUGUGUCAUCUCAAGUUUCAUUUUAUUCAGCUAGCUCAGCUUCUAAGAACUUUCUUUGCAUGAAUUCGGUACUCCACACUGAUGUUAAUUCUGCAGAGGCAAACUGUUCCCACUGACUAAUACACCCUUAUCAGGUUCUACUGCAAGGUCAAGAUUUUUUGUUUAAUUUUUUUAAUUUUUUUAAUUUUUAAUUUUUAAAUUUUUUUUUGGUCUUAGGUCAUACUCCGAAGUAUUUUAUACUUCGAGUCACUAGGUAUAUCAUACUUUUUUUCAUUUUUGUUGGUAUGUGACAUUCUUUCUUUUUGGAAAAAUUAUCUGAUUUCUGUAUAGAGAUAUGAGUGAGAAUUUAUCUUUAUCUUUAUUUCUCCUCCCUCCCUUGAGCACACCUUCCUUUCUAUUAUACAGUCUUUAUGUGUAUAGUAACCUGUGUAAGGGCAAAUAAAAGUAUGAUACACAAAGUGGUAUUUUCAUUGUCUUGUUCAAGAUUAAUUGCAUCAUUUAAUGCAAGAAAUGGUUGCAUAAAACUAUGGCUGAUGAAUAUAAAUGUUUGGAACUGAAGUUUAGUAGUGAUACUCUUGAUGUUUGAGUUGCCACAAGGCGGAUACACAUAGGUAUUUGGGUUUGUUAACUUGUAAUAUUGACUGUUUGAUAUAUGUUUCCUUAUUGCAUCAAGGAGCUAGGGUUUUUGGAAGCCAUAUUCUCAAAUAUGCCAUUCUGCUGCCUGUUGAGAACCGCUGUGCUGCACGUAACUGUUUUCUGCCACCUGUUGUUCACGGGAAGAGGAUAUCAUAAUUCCUUCUAAUAAAAAUGGUGCUUCAAGAGCUCUCCAAAACAAUGCCUUAGUAUUUUCCCAAAGCUGUUGGGCAGCCUGAAACUGCCGUCUCCUCUUGCAUGAUUAACAAGCUGGAUAAGGUGGCCGAAGUACGAGAGCCCAUCCGACCAGCAAGACCCUUCUGUUCCUCCAUUGCUGGAUACCUGUGUACUAUUUUCUAUCUCAGUUGUCCAUUUGGUGCAUAACAAUUUUAAUGUUCUCCUCGGCCAUGUUUGGCACUGGGUUGUCCUCAGGGCAUACGGGCCCAAUUGGAGCUUACGGUUAUGUCCACUUUGGAACGGGCAUGGGAAAGUGCAAUGGUCUUAGGACGCUCGUUAUAUAAAUUAAGAGGAGGGGUUUGUUCUUGGGGUAUAGAAACACAUCAUGCUCCCUCUAAGGAGACAAUUAAAAGCAUCAAUUGUCAAAAUGCAUACCUAUUUCUUUGGAGGAGAAAAGACCAUUGAAAUUUAUUGAGAUCAUAGCUUGCGGUGAAGGGCAAGAUUUUUAAGCCUGGAUCACUCGUAUUAGAUUCAGCAAUUUACCAACUAAAACUGUUGGCACCCUCUACAAUGACUAAUAUGCAUUGGGAGCCUUGUACAUUAAGAAUGGUUGCAACUUACUU